ACCAUUUGGUUCCUGCAAUUUAAGUCUAAAUUCUUAGGUCCAUGUGUGAAAGAUAAAAUGAAUGUCAAUUGCUAUUGGAAAAAAUCAGGAAUUGAAUGAGAUUUGCAAGACCUAGUUUCUUAAACGGAAAUUGAGCCCUAUUUUGUGGGAAAUUAGUUUUGCAGACUUUCUUAAAAAAAAACCUAAAACUUUUGUUCAGCAGCUGCUCCACUUUUCCCUGCAGUUUCAGAGUGAGCUGGAACCUGCAGCAGUCUUUAAACGUGCUUAUCAACACACAUCACAAGAGAUCUUCAUCUCGUAUACCUAAAGACGCCACUCCACAACCUCAUUCUGCACCGCUCCUGCAUCUGUCAGCCAUUGGAACUGGCCAAGAGUCUUUCUAUAUUAUUCUCAAGAGAGUUUGAGUAAUCCCAGGACCCAAUAAGAAAUGCAACCAAUGUAUUUCAUGCACAUUAAAUGGAAAACCAUGAGUCUGAAAGCUUGACUGCAACCAUGAAAGUUUCUGAAAUCACAUUUUGGAUAGGAAAGACUGAAAAAAAAUGGUACAAGGGAAAGAGAAAAUGUAUCUCAUCUAAACAUACCAUACAUGAAGCACUCACUAUGGCAGUCUACCUUUUCUGAGGGUAGCAGUUUUCUGCUAUCCCUAUUAUAGUCCAAUAAUUCCAAUCUGCUAGUAAAACAAGGAUUGUUUAAAAGCUGAAUCUCCAAGAAAAAAAUGUGUGUUUAAGUCACAGGGAUUUACACCAGCUGCAAGGCCAGAUCCUCAGCUGGUGUAAAUCAGCAUAGCACCAUUGAAGUGAAUGGAGCUUUGCCCAGUUAUACCAGCUGAGGAUUUGGCCCUCAUACUAAUUUUGCAAACCCAAUAGUUUGAGAAUUUUGCAAAAUUCUCAAACUCCUUGAAUUUCACCUGGCCCUGCUGUGCCCAGAGCACACAUUUUCGUAACAUUCAGAAAGUGAGAUUUUUCAGCUGAAGUCCAUACAAAAACUCGAGGGUGGGGGAAGAGAGUAAAAAAAGGGCAGAAGAGUACCAGAAAAUAAAAACAGAUUAGAACGGAUUUUGUUCUCAGUUACACUGUGCAUAAACCCAGAAUAAUUCCUAUAGAAUCAGUGGAAUUAAACUUGUGAAUAGUUGAUAUGAGAAUAGAAUGAGACCAAACAAACAACCGAGAAUAAUUUGACUUGUAGAGGAAGUCUCUCACUUCUAGUCCUACAGUCUUCCACAAAUAGAUAUUUCAUUACAAAAAUUCUAAAUACUAUGGCUACCACAUCAGCUGCU